AUAAUAAAUAAUUUCUGCCCGGUGCGGUUAUGUAAACGGCCGCGGUACUCUGGACCGUGCAAAGGUAGCCAUAAUCCACUUGCUUUUUUAUUGGGGGGCUAGAAUGAAUGGGGUGACCGUAGUUUAUGCUGUCUCUUUUUUUUAUUUGAAAAUUGCUGUUUUUGUGAAGAAGCAAAAAUAUUAAAAAAAGACAAGAAGACCCUAUUAAGCUUUACUAAGUUAUAGUAUAUAGUGCUUUUUUAGAUAAAAUGUGUGUAUCUUGUAUUUAGUUUGGUUGGGGUGAUCGAAGAAGAUAAAAAUCUUCUUUUGUUUUUAAAAACUUUAAGUUAAUAGUUUAAUGUGCCAAUAUUUGUAUUGAAAAUCAAAAUAAGUUACUAUAGGGAUAACAGCGUAAUUUUUUCAGAGAGUUCUUAUUGAAGAAAAAGAUUGCGACCUCGAUGUUGACUUGUUGUUUCCUUUAUUUUUUGGUGUAGUAGCUGAAAAGGUGGUCUGUCGCCCAUAAAACACAACACGUGAUCUGAG
rnacentral:rRNA from 1 species